rnacentral:rRNA from 1 species
ACGCUCGACACCUACGGAGGCAGCAGUAGGGAAUCUUCCACAAUGGGCGCAAGCCUGAUGGAGCAACACCGCGUGAGUGAAGAAGGGUUUCGGCUCGUAAAGCUCUGUUGUUGGAGAAGAACGUGCGUGAGAGUAACUGUUCACGCAGUGACGGUAUCCAACCAGAAAGUCACGGCUAACUACGUUCCAGCAGCCGCGGUAAUCUGAGCGGGCUGGCAAGGC